rnacentral:rRNA from 1 species
UACGUAGGGUGCGAGCGUUAAUCGGAAUUACUGGGCGUAAAGCGUGCGCAGGCGGUUCGUUAAGUUCGAUGUGAAAGCCCCGGGCUCAACCUGGGAACUGCAUUGGAAACUGGCGAGCUUGAGUAUGGCAGAGGGGGGUGGAAUUCCGCGUGUAGCAGUGAAGUGCGUAGAGAUGCGGAGGAACACCGAUGGCGAAGGCAGCCCCCUGGGCCAAUACUGACGCUCAGGCACGAAAGCGUGGGGAGCAAACAGG